UACGUAGGCAGCGAGCGUUGUUCGGAAUUACUGGGCGUAAAGAGUGUGUAGGCGGUGCUCUAAGUUCGGUGUGAAAUCUCCUGGCUCAACUGGGAGGGUGCGCCGGAAACUGGAGUGCUUGAGCGUGGGAGAGGAAAGCGGAAUUCCUGGUGUAGCGGUGAAAUGCGUAGAUAUCAGGAGGAACACCUGUGGUGUAGACGGCUUUCUGGACCACAGCUGACGCUGAGACACGAAAGCGUGGGUAGCAAACAGG
rnacentral:rRNA from 1 species